AGCCGAACUUUUUUUUGUUCUACUGCGCAUGUGACUGCCCUUGGAAUUUUGAAGAAGAAAGCCUUUCUCUCGGUGGUGCUCGCUAGAAGAACCCCCGGACCAGUGCAGUUUUAUCUUGAAAGGAGCACCGGCCUGGGGUUUCAGGAAAGCAAAUAACUUGGCGCCCCCAUGUAAAUAUGCCUUUCCCUCUCCUUUCAGCUGGCAGAAAAUACAACUAGGGCUCAUUUAUAAACACUGGGCAAAUCUGUUCCUGGGCAGUAACCCAUAGCUCAGUGAUUAACACUUUUCAGCCAGAUGCAGGUAAAACAAUGAAAGCAAACAUCUGAUUGGUUGCCAUGGGUUAUUGCCCAGGUGCAUAUUUAAAUAAGCCCCACUGUAUGCCAUAGCCCAAACACUACUAGAAUAGCCACUUACCAGUGUAAUAACUGUGCAUAAUGGAGAACUCAGUGUGAAGCAGAGGCAGCAAUUAGCAUGGGGAUGAGGGAGAAGGUAGGAUUACUGGAGAUUUGUAUCACCGGAAAGAUGUGACUGGUUUACAAACACUGCUUUUUGCACGCAAGAAAUAGGAAAACAGUGCAGAUUGUGGGUUUACAGGGAAGGACUUUUCAAUAGGCAAGAAUAUAUAAAUAAUGUUUUUUCUUAACCACAGAAUGACAAGAUACAAGAGCUAUGAUGGACAAUGACAUAUCACAGGUUCUACUUUACAUCUCUUAUGGAAAAUGCACACGAGCCAAAGUCGUGGCUUUCAAAAGAAGCAAUGGGAAACAGGCAAUCGGUGAAAUAUUUAACAUCCCACUGCUGGAUAUUGCUCACCGUCAUUCACAGACCUCCCAGCACUAUUACCAAAGGGCAGCUCAAAAGAGCACAAAUGCAGAUGAAUGAAGCUCUUAUUUGAAGAGAGGUGAAGACAAUGUACAGGCGCUCUGGUGAAUAGAAUGCAUGGGGGCUAUUCACUGGCAUUCCUGCCCAUGCAUUGCUUAAUCAGAAUUAUUCAUAGAUCCCUCACAGAAGUUUCAUAGCUGGGCUCUCUGUAUAGAAAUGUGAAAUAAAAUGCAGUCUGUAGGGCAUAGAUUACAUCAUAUGUAUGCACUGAGAAACAUUAUUUGGGGGUUUAAGCAGUUUCUCCCCCCACCCAUCUUCUCUUAUUUCCUUUCUGUUGUUCUUUGUAUUACAGUGGAUAUGUUUGCUUGCAAAUAACUAAAUAAAGUGUAUGCAGUUUCCAAUU